AACCUAGAACUGGUAAGGAAUAACAUGUCGGCCAUGUCCACAUCUACAUGAGUUAGGCUUUGAAUUUUUGCAUUCUGUUGAGACUUUUAGGUGGGUGGAUGAUGCUUUCAGUUCUUGUUUAUCAUUCACUUUAAGGUGGGUGGAUGUCUGGAUGAUGGUUUCAGUUCUUGCUUUCAGUUUUUGUUUUCAAUUAUAUCAUUCACUUUAAGGUGGGUGGAUGAUGCUUUCAAUUAUUUUUUUUGGUUCAAUCAUAUCACAACAUGUCAGCAAUAUCCUACGACUAGUAUGAUUCUUUCAAUUUUUGUUUUCAAUUAUAUCAUUCACUUUGUCCUCUGUCCUUUGUUUUCAAUUAUAUCAUUCACUCAUUUUUGUUUUUAAUUAUAAGUCUCUGUCCUUUGUCCUUCAAUCAUUUUUGACUUUCUCUCUGUUACGGGAGAUGAUGCAUCAGGAGGCGCAACCGGUCAGUUGGAGCUUCUUUCAACUGCAAUAAUGGAUGGUUGGAUGGCCGGACUUGGUGCUGCAAUUCCUCCAAAUACAGAUGCUCUUGGUCAACUUCUAUCUGAGUAUUCGAAGCGGGUUUAUAGUUCUCAGUUGCAGCACCUGAAGGACAUUGCUGGUACAUUGGCAUCAGAAGGGGCAGAAGAUGCAGCACAAGUUGCAAAUCCAUAGGCUGGGAGGGAUUCGACAGAUAUUGAAAUAUAUGGGAUGCAAGAAAUCCCAACUGAUGUAUUGGCUGCACAUUAUGGAGAGGAAGGUUCACUUGCUGAUUAGAAAUCUUGCAUCUGCUGUCAUUCAAAUCUUUUGGGAACAGGGAGAUGUAUGAAGUGGUUUCAAAGAUCUGGCAUACACUGAGUGGGGAACGAGGUCAAAUUUGGUUUACACAGACAAGGAUAUUGAUGAGAUCCGAGCGGAAUGGGCUAAGCAUGUUUUGAAGUUCCCAGAAAAUUAAGUAUCAGCCUAUAUAUAUGCUUUUGUUUCUGGUAGGUUAUGAGCAGUAGUAGUGUCUAGGAACUGCUUUUGUGCAUUUUGACAGAACUGAUGGAAAUUGUUGAACAAAUGCAUGCAGUUGAUGGAAAGUGUUGAACAAAUGCAUGCAGUUGCUGUAACUACUCUAUGGAUGCUACUAGGUUUUUGUCUUAGUUAGAUUAGGAUCCAUGCAACAAUGGCAGUAAUUAAAAUCAGUUAAUGUAAAGGGUAGCAUGCUAGCUAGUUUAGUAUUAUGCUACUGAUGGAUAUGUAUUUUGGUGGGUUAAUUUAUGCAAUGAGGAAUUGAUCUUAUAAUUCUUUUUGA